rnacentral:lncRNA from 1 species
UCAGAUCCGCCGAGUAUGAAGCGCUCGGCUUUUCUUUUGUGUGAGGAGCACCCACGACGCCCCGACCAUGGGCGCAGGGGCAGAGGCGAAGGUCGUCGCUCCGUCCGCUACCCCGUCCCCCAGCCGCAAGCGCCGAGGAGCCGGAAGAGAGGCGGAAAGGGCAGCAGGCUCCUUACCCAGACCAGCGAGGGGAGGUCAGCUCGUCGCGGGGUGUGGCUCCCGUCCGGGGACUCCCGAGCUCAUUACGGGUGGCCGUGUGUAGCCAAGUUCAAGCUCUCCCUCCGGGAAUGCCUGCCGCGGCGGCGGAAUACGGCUUCUUCAGGACAUUCAGCAAAGCGGGGAGGCGGGGACCUGCGGGCGGAGGAGCGACGCCCCAGCUGGGAACGCGGCGGACGGGCGAGCGGGGGGUGCGCCCUGGGCGCGCCAGGCCGCAGAGGCUCCGGGGAAAGUUCUCUUGGCCGCGCGAGUGGUGGCGCCCCGGGCGGGAGCAGCCCAGGUGCAUGUGGGCCCGGUCCAGGCGUCUGCAAAAAGCCCUGGAACGAAGCGGACCCCCCAGUCCAGCGCUGGCCGCGGCAGGGGAGCCCCUUCUGGGCGGGGUAUCAGCUGGGGGCGGAGGGCGGGGCAGAGACCGUGGUCCCAGCGGCGAGGUGCCGGCGAGUCCACGCUGCCAAGCCGCACACUGCGCCCAAGCCGCGGGGCAGUCCAGCGCUCGCUGCGUCCUUCCCCCGAGAGACCUGGAGGCUGGGUGGGGAGAAGAGGACGCGGUGCUGCUCGGACCCCACGGUUCGGCGGUCCCAAUCCCACGCCCUCCGCGCGGUCGGCCGCGUCCAGGACUGAGGGGCACAAUAGCUCUGAAGCUGCAGUGACCCCUGGUGGGUCCCGAUGUCCGUGCACAGGCAGCCGAGGUUGAGCUGCGGACGACACUGAGCCCCGCUGGGCUUCGGAGCAGGUGCAAUCUGUGCUCUCCAGCUGGGAACCAGCAGCGAGUUAAUGCGAGUCGCAGUUAGGGGAGACACGAGGGGAGGUGUCAC